rnacentral:lncRNA from 1 species
UGCCAGUGUCCCUCUAGGUGGAAGCCCAGGAAGGUGCCCUUCCUCCUCAAGUGCCAAGGCUGGCUGGUCGUCCUGGUACAUCCCUGCAGGGGAGAACAUGAGCAGUUAAUUGGAUAAAUAAGAACGGUGAUCAUACCUAUACCUUGAGUGGGCUGAAUGGUUCAUACCAACCGGAACCGACAAGAGAAUCUGAUCCUCUUGAUUAUGUAUCGGAACACUCUCUCCCUUUUGGGAUGUUUACUUGGGAAGAUGAAUGAUACAGAGGCAGUUACUUGGUAAGCUCAAGACUAGAACAAAGGGACUCAUCUAUAUGAGCCCUUAAUGGCUGCUGUCACCAACUUAUCUUUAUCUUCGUUUUGGGGUUUACCUGCCUUACUGGUCGUAUAUUCAGGUACACAAGUUGGGGUACCCUCUGCCCUGGACAUGGUGGGAGCUGCUGCCCGCUCUUCUCUUGCUGAACUUCCAUCUCUUAAUGCUGCUGGGACUCUCUAUUUCUAGCAACACCUGCAUCUUUGGACUUAAAGAUUUAAUUCAAUUACUUAGGCAUCUGAGUUUCCUGGUUGCAGUCUCUGAGGUUAUGUCCAGGUCCCUUUGAUUGGAGUUUGGCUGAUCCCAGACAGUAUUUUGGGCCAUUUUUACUGAUGAUCUUACCCCUUUCCAAAUCUGAGUUUUGAGGAAACUUACAGAUAACACGCUGUGCCACCCACACCCUGUCUAUCAGGUACCUCUUCUGUACCACCAGAGCCUCUUAGCCCCAUCUGUCUAGGACCUUUGCCCAUUUGUUCUGCUCGAGCUGCUAAUUGGUGACCAAUUUUGUGUGAGCUGCAACUGAUCUCAGGUGUGACAACCUGGCAGUGCCCUGCCCCAUGCCUAGGAAAGUGGUGUUUCCUUGUUCAUCCCAAGGCAUGUGACACCAGGGACCUGCUUGGAGACCAUGUAAAGACCCAGGAAAUAUAGAGUGUUAAUGUCCUGUGAAGAAAGCUUGACUACAGGGAGUUAAAAGCAGAUAGAUAAAUCCUCUUCACUUCUACCCUCUGUACAAACUGACCUGAGAUGCAAGUGAACUCACAGCCUUUCAGAAUCGGUCCUGCAAGAUGAAACAAUCAGUGGCAAGUGAUCCCAAGCAGGGCCCUGCUUAGUAAUGCACUCUAAGGUUUGCUCUUGCUCCUGCUUCCCUGCAAUAAACUCCAUAGUUUAGUAUUAGCACGUUAGCCUUUUCCUCAGGCUCUGUUUCCUGAGGAACCCACGCCAAGAC